rnacentral:lncRNA from 1 species
CUUGGAGAAACAGUUGUUCAGAACCUGGAAAGCGGUGUGGUAGAUCUGUCCCGGCUUUUCAAACAGGAUAAAUCUCUGAGACUUUGUGUCUGGUUGUGAGGGUGUCCAGACUAAUAGAGAUGAAUGAUCAUGCGACUCCUCAGUGGGCUCAGCUGCCUUGAAAGGGUGAGGCCUUGCCGGACAAACAUUUUGGGACAAAUGGGUCUUAUGGAUUUGUGGAAGUGAUAUGGCCACUUUACCAAUUUACUCUCCUCUGCUGAUUUAAAAGUUUGACCUCCUCAAGCCUCUGUUCUCUCCUCCUGUUAUUCUACAUCUCUCUUACUCGCCCACACCCAUUCGAUUCCUGCGUACUGUCUAGAAGCCUAGCGGUUCAGCAUGUGGACUCUGGAGCCAGACUCUCCGGGUUUGAAUCCUGGCUCUGUACUCCUACCCGGGUGAUUUUAAGAAUUCUGGGCCUCAGCUUUCUUGUAGCCUCCCUUCACUGCCUGAGACUCUUUUCAGGAAGGACAUGAGCCAAUGCAGUCCAUGAGAGCUGGCUACGGAAGGGGACAUCCUUGCUCCUUCUUACCCCUGCUUAUCCUCAGCUGUAAUCUGGUGACUAAAUGGCUUCUCCUUCCAUCAGCAAGGGGACAGUGAAACCAGGCACUGUGUUGGUCACUCUGGAUAAAACCCUUAACUGAUGACUCCAUUGGUAAGGACAAAGCAGAGUGAAAUACCUGAUAAUGAGGUAAAUCUCUUUUGGAACCUGAAGAAAGGUGAGAAGUGAAUGGGUGUUAGUAGGACGAUAAGAGAAGAAAAAUUCUCAAAGAUGGAAGGAGGAGAAAGUAAAAAGAACCAAUUGUAGGGCAGUAUUUUAAACAAGUGUUUUUUUCAUUUAUCAAUUAGAGAAUCUGACUUUUUUUAUUUCUUAAGCCAGUUGUUCUUAGAAAAUUGCCAUCUUCCACAUUUCUUAUUCAGAUACCUCCACAAAAGGAGAAAUUUGGCAGCUUUAUAUUCUGGGGUUUUGUGAGAAAAAUUCAUUUUGUCACCCAGAGUCAGCUGCUGAGAAAAAAAAAUAGCAGCAGGACCUUUUCCUCUCGUUGUUAUUCAAAUACAACCCAGUUCUCCAGGCUGACCGAGGAAUAAGUUGGAAGCAAGCAGUGAGCAGAGACUAAUGCCUUAAUUGGCUAUUAAUAUAUGGUCACUGCUAUUCUUAGAAAUAACUGGUGUUUCAAUAACUACCUCAAAAAUGGAGUUCAGAUUUCAUGGCUGUGUUCUAUCACACAUAAAACCAGGAAGAGUUGAUGGGUAAUAGGUUGGACCACGAUUCAUUUCUGGAAAGCUCCAGUUACAUUUGCUAUUGCUGUAAAAAGUCGUGCUUGGAAAGUUGCCUGGUAACCUGAUUUAUCUUGAAUAUUAAUAAUUCACCCAUCAGGAAACUACCUUGCCUGUAACUCAGUGUCAAAAUUGAACACCUCUUUGACUAUGUGGUCUGCAAGGUAAUGGUGGUGGGGUUGGAAGUAAAUUAGUUAAAUGUGGUUAGAGAAUGAAUCUGAUAAUGUGUUUAUCCAACUUGGGAAGAAUUUAGAUGUUGUUAAAGGAUAUAAAGUAUAUAAUCUUAAAGAAUUGAAAUGGGGAUUUCUUUUUAAGUUCUACAUAAUUGUUACUUGAUAAACUCAGAUGACGUCUCACACUGAAAGUUCACUAACCACAUAAUUAAUAGGGACAUGUAUUAUUGAUGUACUAAGACUACUUAAUAGCACUUUGGUUCCAUUUACAGAAGGAUAAAAUAGUCACCAGGCGUGAGAUCAAUAAAUCACAAGUUUUGAGUGUUAUAUUUACAACCUGAGAGUCAAGUAACUCUUCAUCAUUGAACAGUCUCCCACUUGGAACUAUGAGUGACCUGUUUCAGGUUUGUUGAGUGCCCUUGUGAAAAAAUUCUAAGCUAUGGAAACCAUUAUUUUCCCCCUGUGAAAUUUCCCCAUAGUACUUAGUUGGGCCUCCUUCCCUAUGUGGACGCUUUGAGAUGUCACAGAGGCAAGCAGUACCAAAGAUCAUGAAAGAUUUGGUAGUUACAAACACCUUGGUUCGCAUCCAGCAACUAUCUCCCAAAUUCAGCUGGGUCUGACAUAGCAGCUGAGCUUCCUGCUCAAUUUGGCCCCAACUCUGCCCAGACAGAGGACUUCUCUGUUUCCACUAGAACGAGCCAGGAACAAAAACUCCAUCCAUCUAAAAAUGCUUGAAAUAAUUCUAGUGUUGGGGAAGACAAAGAGAAAAUAACCGUGUGGUUUCACUGUAAGGAUUUAGGUAUAAGGAAGGGAAAUGGUGUCAGUCAGGGAUUACAUCCUCAUAUGCCACUUGAGGAACCAAAUACCUCCUAAGAAACAACCCACAUCCGACCCUAAACCCUCAGAUGCCAGGAAUCAUUAAGAGCAUUCACCACAGGAGAAAAUUUCUCUGUUAAACUAAAGAUAAACCACUGUGCCCCAAUUCCCAGAUGAUGGAAAUCGGGCUUUAAAUGAUAUAAUGAGUCACAUUUGCAUUCUUUUUAGAAGAUAAACAGCCAAUUUAUUUUUUGCCUUGAAUGGCAUGUCUUUUAGUAAUGUGAUUGAGGAGAUAAAAUAACCAGUGGUAACUGAUUAACUAUUUUAAGUCAUUGUGUUCAAAACGUGUGAUAUAUUAGUUCACUUAUCCAGAAGUGAUCUCAAUGAUUAGGAGUUGAGCCAAGGAAAUAAGCAAAGCAGCUAAGUGAAGGGUAAGCAACUGAAAUACUUACAAACUGAACCCUCUCUCUUAUGCUCUGAACUCACAGAAAAGGGCCUUAGAGCACUCCCCAGUAUCUAUUUAUUUUAUUUAAGAUACAAUUCUAAUAGCAAAAUGGAAAUAGUUGUUGCAAAGAGAUAAAAAGGAUGCUGUCCAAGUCAGGCAACUGAAAGUGGCAAGAAAUGACAGAACUGACAAUGAUAAAAGAAAUGGAUAAAUCAAAAUGGCAGGAAAAAAAAAUUCAUGAACAUUUUCUCAGUGUGGGACCAUUCUGCGUAGAGUAAAAUAAAAAUAAUUAAGCAAAACACAGAUUUGGUGUUCAUAUUUCAUAACCCUCUAAUAUCAGAAAAUAUGCGAUCUGUGUUAGGAAGACAAUUGAUGUAUCUUAGAAAUAGUUCCAACAUAAAAGGUUAAGUUAUUUUAAAUUCAGUCAUCUUGAAAAUAAGUGCAAUGCUAACUCCUCAUGUUGUUCUUCAUGGAUUACAAGGAAGCAGUGGAGUAUCACAGUUAAAAGGAUGCAUAUGGUUCCCAACUGCCCAGAUUUCAAAUCCCAGCUAUGCCGUGUGUGACCUUGGACAACUCACUUAACGUCUCUGAAGCUCAAUUCCUCCACUGCAAAAUGGGUAGUGGUAAGGAUUUAAUGAGUUAAUGUAUAUAAAGCAUUGGAAGAGUACCUGGCACAUAGUAAGUGUUAGAUAAGCAUUCUCUACAAAGAUAUUUGCAUUUACCAAGUACCUAAUGUGUGUCAGGUACUGGGAAGGGUGCUGUGAUCUUUAUCAUUAUAUUUUAUAAGAUUUUACUACAUGAAGUGAAACACCAGAAUCUUGCCUUCAAUAUUCCUCAAGCCCAACGUAACCGGCAAUAAAGAGUUAUCAACCCUAGUACAACACAAUGUAAUCCAUUAUACCUAAAGUUCUUUUAACCUGAUUUCUGCCAUAGUAAUUAACUUUUGUUUCUUGAAACUUUAUGUCCAUUUUGGUUGGCUACUAUUCUAUCUCUCUGUGAAAUGUUCCCCUCUCUUCAUUUUGCAUGUAUAUUCAUCACCUCUUCUGUUCAGUUACUAUUUUAGACCUCAAGGAUCCAAUGAUCUGGGAACACAGUUCAUCUGAGGAUAGGCAUUACAAGGAUGAUUCACAGUGUCGACAGUUUGGAUCAAUUUCCUGAAGAAAGGACAAAACUGGAAGCUAUUCUUUAUUCUUUCUUUCAGAGCAAGGCACUAUUACCAUGAGGACUAUGCUAAGAAUGUAUGAGAGAAAGCAAGAGAGAGCUGUCUCAGGAGAGAAGAGAAUUCCAACCAGUGAGAUGAGAAUUGCACAAAUCCUGCAGCCCAUCUCUGCCACAGCUCAAAAUUGUUGGGUAAGUAAUGACCCAGACCAUUGAAGAAAAUGAGGAAACUGUGCACACAGACUGAUGUCUUAUGUGACCAACAUGCAUAUAAGAAAUGGAAGCUUCCCCCUAUCUUUCCAGAGUUCAAAAAUCCUAUUGCUGAAUUCACCUCCAAUUCCAUGAAACAAUAUAAAAGAUCCUCCAUAAAGACCCCAGGUUAUAAUGUUUACAAUUUAUUUUGUACUCCUUUUCUCUGGUAAUUGAUGACUGCUAUUAUUAAUGAAGACAUUACAAGGAAUAAAAGGGCUUGCCUGCCACUUCUCACCACAAAACCGUGUGGCAUCAAACAGAAUGAAAUCCUUCUGACACUGACAGCUGGAGAAAACCUUGUCACCACAGUGACAGUGUCAAGUGUGGUGUGACAUCUCUGUGUGUGUUUCUUUUGCACCUAAUAACUUCGUUGCCAAUACAGACCAAAAUAAUGAAAGAAAACCUGCUUUUGCCAGCCCAAAGGAUUAACUGUACUGUUGAGAAAACUGCAGGAAUAUUUGACAUGAGAUCACAAUUUUUAAUUCUUUUCCCCCCAGGAUUCUGCAUGAAGUAUUUUUCUAUGAAGGAUUUAAAUAGAAUUACUUUUCCUCACAUUGGUCAUGGAGAGAAUUAAGACAUUAACUGUUGAUCCAAUUUAUACUGCCAUUUGAUCCCAUAAGUGCUAUACAGGACUCGGUUACUCAUGGAAAAUAGUUCCUGCCAGAUCAAACACUCUCAGGGCCAAAGUCACAAGAUUCUGACUUUACAUGCUCUGUUCUGCCUCCUUUCAUUUUGCCUCUUGGAUUGUCAUGAACUUCCUGAGCAAGAAGGCCAUCCACCAUGCAGUGUAAUGUCUUGCUAAGAGAAAUUAGUAUUCAGUCUGCUCAGGUUCCAGCAAGGACUUUCUUCAUGAAGAUCUUCAAGUGGAAUCAAGCAGCCUUGCCCAUGAAGUCAUGCCUGUGGCUCCACUGAGAAAUUCGAUUAAGUAUUCCAAUACUGCUGUGAAACGAAGUGAUCUGAUUCCGGUGAGACAAUUUAUCUUGCAAGAUGAAGAAGUUACCUCAGAGAAGUCAAAUAAUUUACCCAGAGUCACAAAAUAAGCAAAUGAUGGAAUAUUCAAAUCCAGGUCUUCUGACUCUACCUCUAUCUGCCUUAGAGGUUUCUGAAGUAUUGAUAAGAUGGAGGCUGGAAGAGCUUGAAACAGACCAUAUAAAGCCAGGUCUGAGCUGGAAAAGCAAAGAGGCCCAAGGAACAGCACAGACCCUGACUGGUGGGGUAUCUGUGUAUUUUAAAUAACAAAUACAACAAAGAUUCAAGGUUCAGCAUGUACCCAGAUGUUUCCAUUAUUGAUAUAUAUAUGCCAGUUUAAAAUAUUUAAAUGGAAAACAGUUUGUGUCCACUUCAUUUUAGAACUAUGCCAGUUACAGGAAUCACCCCAGUAUCAGUUAUGUCUUACUCAUGUCAAAGAACCAGGGUCAGAAGAAAAAAAUCUCCAGUAAAGAUCCUUGCAACUCAGGAACACUCUUUCCUCUGAAUACUGCUAUGAACUAGAGUUAAAAGAAAGCAUUUUUUAAAAGAAAUGAUUUAUUCGUUCCUCAUGAUAAACAUAUCAAAACAUCACAUUGUACCACAUAAAUAUAUGCAAUUAUUUGGUUAACUGAAAAUAAAAUAAAAUUUAAAAAGAAAUAGAACGAACCUGAGUUAAACCCUGAGUUAAAUGACUUUUUAACAAAAUUCAAUGGAUUUAGUUUGAAUUCAUGUUUGCCCAUAUAAUGAAUAGAGUGUUAUUUAUGACAACAUCCAGAAGAACAGAUCUCAGGGGUUGGCUUUAUUACAGUAUGUUAGUUUAAAUUAAUUUGCCACUAUUCCCUACAGUUAUUCUUUAGUCUUCCCCUGAAGAUUUACACACACACACACACACACACACACACACACACACACACACACCUCCUUCCAGAAAUGUAAGAAAUAUCUUUACCCUCAUCCUAUCCUAUCUUUAAGAUGCCAACUUCUAGCUUUGUAAGUAGGAAGGAUUAAAACAUGAGAAAGAAAAGUAGGCCUAACUUGUCAUGAAAAUAAAAUAUAUGGUCAAAGCCCAUACCAAAUAAUAAUGCCUGUAUUUUUCCAGAUAUGAAGUUCCUCUUUUUUGCUCUUAAAUGGGUUGAGAGAUUGUGAUAGGUAGUGGGGGGAAAAAGCAUUUAGGGCCCUGAAUUUUGUAUUAUGGUGUUUUUGCUACUAGAAAACACAUGUCUCAAUGGUGAAUAUUUUUAAAAAGUUACUAUUUCAAUUUAACUAGAC